AAACUGUAUGAAAAACUCCCUCUCUCCUCCCGAGACUCUCUCUCUCUGUUACGAAUCUGAGACAGUCUGCCCUAACUCUCAUCCCUCUCUUUCACUCCCACGGUCCCACCUCCCUGCUCUCUCAACUCCUCUCUCUCGACUCUCGACUCUCGACCAAAUUAUAAGACGUUUCUCGUGAGGUGUGAGCCAACAAGAGAUGAGGAAUAGCAGCGACGAAAUGAUGAGGAGACGAGAAAAAGAGAAGGCUGAGACUGUCGAGCACUUAAUCUUCUGGGGUCCCAAGUAAUCAAUCUGACUUUGCUUCUAGACGAUUCAAAUUAAUAUCAUGUAAUGAGUGUUGUACUAGAGUUGUGUCUUAAUGGUUCCACAUCCUAUGUAGAUGAGUUUCGGUUCCGAGGGUUUUAGUUUCUGUAAAUGCUAGACUUUUCUGGUUUGAUAAAAGCUUUAGUAACAAGAAGGAAGUAGUGAUUGAAGACAUUGGCAAGCAAUUUUCUGUUCCAUUAAUGAAAGCCCCUCAUCUAUUGCCUGCAAUAUAGAAAGGGUUUCGUUUUUUUUUUUCAUGAAUAAAUGUAGAAUUUCAGGUUUCAGGAAGCGAAACAAACCUUCUCUCUUCAAAUCAAUUUUACCCUUCAUUCAUUCUUUCCUUUCGGAGGCUCAAAAUUUGCAAGAACCGAUUCCCAUCAUCGUCAGUCAUUACUCUUCAACCCUCUUAACCUUUAGAUUGCUUAGCAGAAUCGGGUAAAGCAUUCCAAUAAUGGAAGUUUCAAAGUUCUAAGAGCCUUGAAUCUUUGUAAGGACACAUAACUCAGGUAAUAUGAAGUAACUUAACAGAUGCUGAAGUUUGACCCCAAGGAUGUUGCUUUUGAAAUAUGAACUUAUUGUGACAUUUUUACUGAAGUUCAACCCCAAGAGCUUACCAUGGAAUCAAUAGUAUGAAACAUCAACAAUUGUUUUGGUAGAUUCUUCAGAUUUCGUAACAGAGAGAGAGAGGAAGUGGGAGUGACAGAGAGGGAUGAGAGUUAGGGCAGAAUGUCUCAGAUUAGUAACAGAGAGAGAGAGAGAGAGAAAGGGAGUUUUUCAUACGGUUUUAAUUCAAAAUUUGAAUCGAUUCAGGUUGAAUUCCUGGUACGUUUCAGUUUAAGUUGGUGAACUACUGGUUUGGGGUUGUAAAAAUGGAGGACUAAUUAAGACCAUUCAGUUCGCUUUAUCCACGUGUCGACCUUUGAAAGAGGUAUUAUACAGUAUUGUAGGAGAUUAGAAUUUCAGAGGAUUUUUAUCCCCUAGAAUGCCAUUCCCAGCAGAUGAUUUUUACCCAACUAGUGAGGCGGUUAGUCAGUGACUGUUUCUGUUCUAAUCGUUUUAUAGCCGUUGAACAACAAUCAAACUGACUUGAAGAAACUGGUGCAAGAUCUGAUUAGUUUUAACUAUUCAUAUGGGAUUUUAUUCCUAUUUAGUGACAUUGAGCUGUAGGUUGACAUUGUAACCCCUCUCUUAUUUAGGAUGAUGAGUGUGAAUAAUGAAGGUAUCUUAUCAUGCUAAACACUUUAGGCCCGUUUGAUUUUGUCUCUUGAAACAUGCUUUUCCCAUUUUUUUGUACUUAGAACGGAAAAACACUCUGUUUUUUUUUUUUUUUUUUUUCAUCAAUUUAUUGAAACAAAAAUAAGUGUAAAUUUCAAUUUUUGUUUCUAGAGAUAUAUAGGAAUGAAGAAAUAAUUGUGACUUGCUUUUCUGUUUCUUGAAACAAAGAGAGGGGGAAAAAUCGUGAAAAUCCAAAGCCCUAAACUCCAAGUUGCAACUCCUCUCAUCUAAACUCUCCUCUUCUCGUGAGACAUUCGAAUCAGGGACGUUGCGACCCUCUUCUCGUGAGAAUUGGAUGUCGUCGCUACAACUCCUGGACCUUCAAGCUCCAUUGUUGCAACUCGAGAGGGCUUCCAUCGCUGCAAGUUGUGGACCUUCCAACUCCAUCGCUGCAACUCGUCAAUGCUUCUUGGACACCCAAACCGACGCAAGCUUCAUCUUUUUUCAUUCAAGGGGCUUUGUGUGUUUAAGGCCAUCUCUUUUUGUUCAUUACAUUUUAUUAGUAAUGGUUGUGCUCUUGGUUAUAUCCUCUGACCAUUCCAUUCAAUUGUGGAGUGCAAAGUUACUCUUAGUUACUCCAGUUUAAGCAUUGGACAAUGAACACUAGUUAAUCUGAGAACAUUAGUGUUGUCAGAGGGCUGGGUAGGGUAGUCUCAUCUGUACAUGGGGGAGAAGUACUGGAACAGUUCUAAGAAUCUUAUAGAUCAAUUGACUUUCAUAAGAAUACUCCAACAAAUUUUGCAGAGCAGAGCAAUAUUAUUAUCUUAAGUGUAUCUUAUGCCAUGACCACCAUUAAUAACAAGCUUGCAUAUAUUAUGCCAUCCUAAUAGGUGAUCUAUUACUAUUGUACUUUCUGUCCUUUGGUCUUGGUAUACUCUAGCCCAUUGGCUACUAUGAGGGUUUUGGUCACUGUUUGGAGCUUAUUUUGUAUUAUGAUAUCAGUAGAAGUGUUGGUGUCUUGUUGGAGUUAUUGUUGAUUCUAUUGUGGUUGGGUACUCUUACCUAGCUGAUUCUGGUUAAUAUUGGUUUUUAUUUUGUACUUAAAUCAUUCAAUGUAUGUUGUUCCAUGAUGUAUGAUGCUUGAUGCAAUAAUAAUGCUGCAUGAGUAAUGUUUCCUUUGUGUGGACAAUAUGGCAUAUAGUGGAAACCCUACUCCUACUCCAACCAUAAUCCUUUGGAAUGCUAAUGAGUUGAAUGAAUUCAUCAACUUAACGGUUGAUAAUGUAAGGAAUGGUCAGAAGUUCAAUUCCACAUUCAGUAAUGUUGGGUCCAUACAGGGCCAUUUGGACCUGUAUGGGUCCGGGUCAAAUUGGGUGAAAAUCGGGCUUAUCGAUCCCCGUUUCGAUUUUCGAGAUUGAUUCUGGGAGAUCCGGUGGUCCGAAUUUCGCUUGUGAUAUAUCAUCAGAAUCGUCUUUUCAAGCACUACCCAAUGGUGUCGGUUUUUUGAGUUCUUUGUUCACUUCAAAAAUAUCGAGAAUAGCAAAGAGGAGACUUUGCCCAUUUGCCAGCUAGGGGUUUUUUCGACAAUCCUUGUUUAUGUCGUUCCCGUACCAUCAAAGAGUACUUAGAAUCAAUUCGUCAAUAUAUAAUAUACUAGAAUCGAGUGCCACAAGAUCGGGCCCAAAAUUGACCCAGGGUUGGAUUAGGGUUACAGGUUGUAUUAGGGUUUUUGAACUGAUUCGGGCCACUUUUGGGUUUCAGAUUAGAUUAGGGUUUCGGGUUGAUUCUCUAGUCACUGCCAUCAUCUAGAUCGUCACCAAAGGCCUAGAUUCCCUUUCGAUGUGAAGCACGAACCUUGGUCAUUUCCUGUAUGUCAUCACUACCUAGGUUGGUGACAAAUUUGGGUGUCGAUCAGCCUGAUUGGUCAGUCUAACCGAUCAAUUUUUAACACAGGACCCCCAUUUAUCAGUCAACUUGAUCGGUCAAUCUGAUAAAUCAACUCCUUAGUGUGCUCAUUUAUCGACCAAUCUGAUAGUCAACCUGAUUGAUUAAUCUGACCGAUCAACUCCUUAACACAUAGUCUUCAUUUAUUAGCAUAGUCGUCAUGGCAUCACCUAAGUGUUGACUUGGCAUCUCGACGGAAAAGUGACAACAAAUUGGUGGGCCGAUUUGCUUGAGUCACGAUUUGCAUGAGCCAUACCAAGAUUGGCAUCGCCAAGUCCGUGCCACUGACACCAUAUCACAGUUGGAGUACAUAGUGGUUGUUUUUUGUACCUUGGCAUUUUUUUUUUUUUUUUUUAGUUAUUAAUCUUGAUUCUCUUUUUCAUAUUAUUAUUGCCAAAUUAUUGGCAAGUGUAUUAUGCUUCCAUACACACCACUACAUGUAAACAAGUGUAAAAGCCCAAAAGGUAUAUUUGUUUAAGAUCCUCAUUCCUCAGCCUCUCAAGUCCUCGACUCUCAACAGUGAAAGUUAAACUGUUCUUCGUCACUGGCUUUGAUAACUCUCGUACUCUCUGGUGAGUAUUCAUCUGGCUCCGACAGGUCAUAGGUCACGGCAUCCUCAUUUGUCGAUAGCUUAGGUCCCUAUCCUUUUUCAAAGAAUCGGCCACACAUUAAAUUCAGUCAAUAAGUUGAUUUUUUAUGACUUGAGGUACAUGUUAAUUUUUAUGAAUUGAAGCAUAACUGUAUAAGUCAAUAAUUCAUGUUGAUUUUUGAUGUCUUGAUAUGGCUAUGAUUUUUGAUGAUUUGAUGAUGCUUAAUAUUGAUUUUAUAUGUUAUCUGGUA